UGCUUCUUCAAGGAGAAAUGUUAUCCUCUCCAUGCAGUGUUUCCUCUUUAUUAUUACAAGAGGAAAGCCUAAUAAAAGCGUAUCAUCUGGUCUUAUUGUCUGUUCUAAAACAAAUGUAGGAACAUUAUGGCCCAGACAGUCUAUAAAUCACGACAGAUGGACACUACAUAAAACCAUUAUCAGAGGUAAUAAAGACUGAAACAGCUAGGAGGGAUAUACCCAGGGGGUGAAUCCAGAUACUAGAAUUUAAAUUACAACUUUUAGUCUACAAUUUGGCUUGUGGCUUGUUUCGUUAUGUUUUCUAUAGGAAAAAGAUGAAUGAUACUAGAGCAUCAGCAAGCAUGUGAGCCACAAGAUUUUAAAUCUUUUGCUCUGUUCAGCAGUUUAAAUUCAGGCAACAGAAAAUAACUGAUGGAUGGAUGGAUUAAGAGAGGACAGGAUUCCAUCUGCUGGUGAUAGAAGGCAGUGUAGUGAAUACAGCCGGAGUAUGUUAACAUUCUUGACAUGACAAUCAUGUAGAGCUGAAACAAUUAGUCAAUUAAUCAAUAAGUCAAUUGACAGAACAUUAAUUGGCAACUGUUUUAUAAUUGAUUCAUUUUUAAUGCCAAAAUAUUUAGUUGACCCUCAUUGAUAUAAACAUAGUGGACAAAAUGUUAGAAACACUUCUCAGUAUGAUGGAAUACAGUUCAACAGCAGCACAAUUCACAUCCUCCAAAAUCAUCAUACAGUUGAAUCAAUACAUCUCUAAAAUCAGUUUCAACAUUUAUUGCAGGACUGUUUUAUUAGACUGGUUUUAUUUUAGCUAGGUGUACCUAAUAAACUGGAAACUGAGUUUACAGAUAGCAUGGAAGAAACCCAAAAGACCAAACGCUGCUUGUCUUAUCUCAUCAAUACUGCUAAAAGCUAUUCAGCCUGAUUAGUUUGGUCACUCAGAGGUAAAAUACCAUCCAUAGAAGAGUUGUGAAUGAUUAACAGAGGGCAUGGUUAGAGUUUAAUCAAACUAUCUAACAAUCUACUGGACUCUCCCUAGCACUCAAUCUAGAUCUAUAGUAAAUCAACAGGUUUGCUCAAUGUAUGAAUGUGCUUAGACAAAAGAUAAACAUUAAUAAGACACUUUAAUGCCACCAUGCACUACUGUAUGAUGUUACAUUAAGACAAAAAGUUAGCAGGUUUUUAAUAACCAUCUUUGGAGCAAGAUGACAAAAGGAGGUACAUGGCGAUUUCCUCUUCUCAUUGAACGCUGCCUGUGCGAGGUUGGCCGAAUCACCCAUCUUUUUGUCUACAAAUCAUCGUGGCAUUAAGAAUAAAAUACAAUGGCUUCAAUCUUAUUAGAUGGCUUUCGAUAUAAAUUUAUACUUAUUAUGGUGUGAUGCAAAGCAAAUUUUGGUAGGAUUUGUCAACACAAAUUGUUUUGUUUUGUUAGUAAAUAACUUGAAUAUCGAUGGAAACACACUAGAUUAAAAUUGUUAUCAUGUUAUAGUAAAGUGACUUUAUAUGAAUCUGUUCUGAAUCUACAACCAGAGAGACAUGUCAGACCAAUAUCACGUAUAUUGUUGCAGUAUCAUGGCCAUUAGCUGUUGAGUGAGAAUACUAAAGUACAUGUCUUUGUUUUGGUCUUUAGUCAGUAUGAUUCAUGGCCAACAUUAGCCGACACUCAAACAAUAACACAUCAGUUGUCCUUCAAUUAUGCUGAUGUAAAGCUGCAGAAACUAUAAAUGCUUCAACAUAGAAAUAAACCACAUUUCUAACAUUUGCAUGAAACUUGCUUAACAGUUGGAAACAUACAUUACCUAUGUGACACUGAGCCCAACUUGCCACUACACCCACUAUAUGCAGGCUGAGCUGCAGCGUCUCACUGAUGAUGCCUCUUCUCUGGACACUGCAAGGCUAACCUGUCCUUCACACCUUUAAAAUGUGUACAAUUGCAGGGCAGUGUGUGUGUGUAGACAGGAGAGAGGAUGGAAUUACAGCUGAGAGGCUAAGUCUUUGCAGAUGAC